rnacentral:rRNA from 1 species
AGUGAACGCUGGCGGCAGGCCUAACACAUGCAAGUCGAACGGCAGCACAGUAAGAGCUUGCUCUUACGGGUGGCGGGUGGCGGACGGGUGAGGAAUACACCGGAAUCUACUUUUUCGUGGGGGAUAACGUAGGGAAACAUACGCUAAUACUGCAUACGAUCUACGGGUGAAAGCAGGGGAUCUUCGGACCUUGCGCGAUUGAAUGAGCCGAUGUCGGAUUAGCUAGUUGGCGGGGGAAAGGCCCACCAAGGCGACGAUCCGUAGCUGGUAUGAGAGGAUGAUCAGCCACACUGGAACUGAGACACGGUCCAGACUCCUACGGGAGGCAGCAGUGGGGAAUGUUGGACAAUGGGCGCAAGCCUGGUCCAGCCAUACCGCGUGGGUGGAGGAGACCUUCGGGUUGUGAAGCCCUUUUGUUGGGAAAGAAAAGCAGCAGGUUAAUACCCCGCUGUUCUGACGGUACCCGAAGAAUAAGCACCGGCUAACUUCGUG